GAUGAACGCUGGCGGCGUGCCUAAUACAUGCAAGUCGAACGAAACUUCUUUAUCACCGAGUGCUUGCACUCACCGAUAAAGAGUUGAGUGGCGAACGGGUGAGUCACACGUGGGCAACCUGCCCACAAGAGGGGGAUAACACUUGGAAACAGGUGCUAAUACCGCAUAACCAUAGUUACCGCAUGGUAACUAUGUAAAGGGUGGCUAUACUACCGCUUUUGGAUGGGCCCGCGGCGCAUUAGCUAGGUGGUAGGGUAAAGGCUUACUAAGGCAAUGAUGCGUAGCCGAAUUGAGAGGUUGAUCGGCCACAUUGGGACUGAGACACGGCCCAAACUCCUACGGGAGGCAGCAGUAGGGAAUCUUCCACAAUGGGCGAAAGCCUGAUGGAGCAACGCCGCGUGGGUGAAGAUGGUCUUCGGAUCGUAAAACCCUGUUGUUAGAGAAGAAAGUGCGUGAGAGUAACUGUUCACGUUUCGACGGUAUCUAACCAGAAAGCCACGGCUAACUACGUG
rnacentral:rRNA from 1 species